AACACGUGGGCAAUCUGCCCUGCACUCUGGGACAAGCCCUGGAAACGGGGUCUAAUACCGGAUAUGACCACCGGCCGCAUGGUCUGGUGGUGGAAAGCUCCGGCGGUGCAGGAUGAGCCCGCGGCCUAUCAGCUUGUUGGUGGGGUGAUGGCCUACCAAGGCGACGACGGGUAGCCGGCCUGAGAGGGCGACCGGCCACACUGGGACUGAGACACGGCCCAGACUCCUACGGGAGGCAGCAGUGGGGAAUAUUGCACAAUGGGCGCAAGCCUGAUGCAGCGACGCCGCGUGAGGGAUGACGGCCUUCGGGUUGUAAACCUCUUUCAGCAGGGAAGAAGCGCGAGUGACGGUACCUGCAGAAGAAGCACCGGCUAACUACGUGCCAGCAGCCGCGGUAAUACGUAGGGUGCGAGCGUUGUCCGGAAUUAUUGGGCGUAAAGAGCUCGUAGGCGGCCUGUCGCGUCGGAUGUGAAAGCCCGGGGCUUAACCCCGGGUCUGCAUUCGAUACGGGCAGGCUAGAGUUCGGCAGGGGAGAUUGGAAUUCCUGGUGUAGCGGUGAAAUGCGCAGAUAUCAGGAGGAACACCGGUGGCGAAGGCGGAUCUCUGGGCCGAUACUGACGCUGAGGAGCGAAAGCGUGGGGAGCGAACAGGAUUAGAUACCCUGGUAGUCCACGCCGUAAACGUUGGGCACUAGGUGUGGGCGGCAUUCCACGUCGUCCGUGCCGCAGCUAACGCAUU
rnacentral:rRNA from 1 species